UACGUAGGGACCGAGCGUUGUCCGGAAUCAUUGGGCGUAAAGAGCGUGUAGGCGGCCACUUAAGUCCUGCGUGAAAUCUUGCGGCUCAACCGCAAGCGGUCGUGGGAAACUGGGUGGCUAGAGUGCGGGAGAGGAGAGUGGAAUCCGUGGUGUAGCGGUGGAAUGCGCAGAUAUCAGGAAGAACACCCGUGGCGAAGGCGGCUCUCUGGAACGCAACUGACGCUGAGACGCGAAAGCGUGGGGAGCAAACAGG
rnacentral:rRNA from 1 species